GAGGGAAGAGCUGGGAGGUGGGAAGUGGGGGAGGGGCCCCAGACCAGGCUCAGAGCAUAUCCUUGCUCCUGGCCUCCACCGCAGAAGGUGGCUCACCCCUCUGCAUGGAACAGUCUCUCUCCAUUCCCUCUACCCUGGCCUUCCUCCUCCUUGCAGGCCCCAGAAGCUGGAGGGGGCUGGUCGGGGUUGGGCUCACAGACACAGUGGUGGAGCUCACAGAAGUGCCCCCACCCACCAGGAGCCCAGGGUGGGCCUCAGCCAGCCGGGGGUAAUGAGGCAUGGGAUGGACUCUGCGGGCACCAGGCCUGACCCUGAGUGCACCCAGGCGAGGGCGGGGGACACUCAGAUCUGCCCCUCUCUGCAGGAACCUGGUUUCCCCACCCUGGAGGCCAGCGCCAAAGGACGUUCACGUGCAGCUCAACCACACAAUAUAAGAGCUACUGUCUCCAAUUAACACUUGGGGACACUGAGGCAAAGAGCCUGGCUGAAUAUUGUGCCCGUGAAGACAGAGGGACAGCCUAUUUUGUUUGCUGCUGUAUCCUUAGCACCCAGCACAGGGAAGGGGUCCUGGUACAUUUCUAGAAAAAAUGGAGGGGAGCAGAGUCCCCCUGAGCACCUGGGGUUUGAUGCCUCCCUGCCCAGAGCCCUUGCUAUAGCAUAUGCUGGUGAGGGCCGAGGCUCUAGCUCACACUCCAGACCGGGGUAGGGAUCCAAUCUGGCUUUGAAGACAUCAUGCAGAGCCUCUGCUCUGGAGAUGGGAACCUGCAGACAAAUGCCUCCUUAUCUCAAUCCUCUGAAAACAGUUUGACCAGGGAGACAGCGUUCACUCAUGAAUUUAAGAAAAAAAAAAUCCCUGAUCCCUACUUUUUGCCAACUUCAAUGCUGAUUUCUAGUGGUACCAAGAAAAAUGCAACUGAGCCUCCAUCCUCAAGGGGCUCACAGUCUUGUGUGGAGAUAAAAAAUGCAGGCCUGCUGCAGAUCCAAGUCCUGUGACCGGGGUCCUGCCCAAGGGUCCUGCUUCCCUAGGCAUCCCAGAAGUUCAGCCUGCAUCUCGACCAGAGCCUGAGAGUAGACACCUGCCGGUUUAUCUGUCCCUUCAUGUAGCAGGUGACAGAGGUGCCAGGGGCAUGGCAGGGGUACUCUGACACAGCACUGCCCCACGGAGCCCAUGUCCCAGGGCAGAAGACCCACGAUGCACAGCCAGCCAGGUGGCCUCAUCCGAUCAGUCAAAGGCCUCAAUAGAACCAAGACUGACCUCUGCCAAAGAGAGAAUUCUUUCAGCAGACGGCCUUCGGACUUGAGCUAUGACGGCAACUCUUCCCCGGGCCCACCUGACGGACUGGGUUUCUCAGCCUCCACAGUCGUGUGAGCCAAUUCCGGCAGUCAGGGAAAGCCUCCUGGAGACUUGGGCAAGAGACCCAAAGGAAGUGAAGGGGCGGGCAAGAUGGGAGAAGAGCAUCUGGAACAGCAUGUGCAGAGACCCAGGGCCAGGGCUGUCACUGGCAUGUUCCGGGGCUGGAUAACUGCAGUCUCAGAGAAGACCCCCAGAAACCCAAAAUGCUUCCAGCCACAGAGGAGGAGAGCAGCUGGCAGCCAGAAGCAUCCAUUCCAAGUGAGAGACAUCGAAGGGAACAAGGCUUAACCGCCUUGUCUUUGAACAGCACUAAAUGAUUCAGCAAAAGGGAUGAGAGGAAACCUUUGGCCAUGUCACGGGUUCACAGCCAUCUGUAUAUGUUCCUAUAGUCCUGCUUUGUACCUCCAGCCUAAAUGAUGGGGAGGUCGUUUGAAGAUGAGACUGACCCUUCACUACAUGUGCUGCUUCCAACCCCAGAUUCCAUCAGGCUGCACUUCUGAGAUUCAGUGAACUCCCACUCAUCCUUCAAAACCCUAUCUCAAUGUCGCUGCCAUAGCAAAGCCUUCCCUGGCCCCCUCGGGUAGGGAGGGUCUCUCUGCCCACUGGCAGGCCAAGAAGGCCAAGCUCUGCCCUCUGAGAAUCCAUCAGUGUCCCAAGCUGACUUUCCCUAGCCUCGUAUCCCUUCAUUCCAUGAAAGGGGAACUUAGGGUGGAGUGGAAAUUUUGAUCAUCUAAAGGAACAAUAAUUGCUUUCAUUCAUUCAUUUAAACAAUAUGUAUUGAGCACCUACCAAGGACCAGGCCUUGUGCUAAGUGCCCCCACAGAGGUCACAAUAGUCAUAUACUACAAACAAAUACAGCAUCACAAAGGUUGGCGCAUGAAGAGACAGCAGCUAAGGGCAUGGUCCUGGAGCCAGAAUGCCUGGAUUUGAAUCACAGCUCUACUACUUCCCAGCAGCUUGUUGAGCUUAGCCAAGUCUCUAAGCCCCUCUGAGCCUCAGCUUUAUCACCUGUAAAAUAGGGAUAAAAGCAGCAUCUGCCCUAUUCAUCUGUUCACAGGAAUACAUGGCCUAUGGAGGGAAAGUACCCAGGCUCCUGAGUGGGCCCUCCUGGCCCACGGCAGAAGCCGUGUGCAUGUCUGUUCAACAGAUACCUUUGGUGGCCUGUAUGUACCAGGCGCUUCUAUUCUCUGCUGGUCAAGGAAGGCUCACGGUGGAAUAGGAUUUAGCCCCGGGAGAGACAGCAGGGGCAUUCUAAAGACAUCGACUAGCUGGCAUCCUGUGCCAGGCAUCCCAACCUUUUGCGCAUCGCGGCUCACCUGGAAAAGACGUGGGGGUGAGGAAGGAGGUGCCACCUGCAUGAGGCAUGGCAGAAAAGCAUGACAUCACCUUUAUAGUGCAAAGCUUGACAGGAAGAAUAAGAUACAAAGUACUUAAAGAAGAUAAUCGAUAUUGGAUGUGUAUUAAAUUUCCAAGGAAAAUAUUUUUAAAUAUGUAAAUUAAUCUUGAGUUGGCUUCUACAAGCAUAACUUUUUUUUUUCU
rnacentral:lncRNA from 1 species